rnacentral:misc_RNA from 1 species
GUGAAUCAUCAAAUCUUUGAACGCAAAUUGCACUCUCCUCGGAGAGUAGGCCUGUUUGAGUGUCAGCCUAUAAAAAAUCGACAUCGUUGCUGUUUCGCUGUGGCGUUCGUCGGAAAGGGUGUCAGCUUAAAUCGGUUUUAUUUAAGCGACUUAAAAUUUUCUUUUGGUUCCAUGAACGUUUCUAAGAUCUAUUUCGUUACACGUUUAAGGUAUCGAGUGUUACUAGACGUGACCAUCAUAUCGGAUCGCGUCCAUAAUCUUUCAUUAACUGACCUCGAACAGUUAAGAGUACCCUCUGAAA